GUCGCAAUGGAGCCAGAAUGACAUCCAUGCUCUUUGUGAAGGUGCGAGGGCAUAAAGCUAGCAUGAAGGGAAGAACCUGAUAUUGGUAUGCAUUGCCUCCAAACACAAACCUCAGGAACUUCCUGUAACUGGGCAAUAUUUCUAUGUGGAAAUAUGUAUCUUUUAGAUCUAUCAUCACAAUCCAUUCCUCAAACUGAAUCUGUGGAGCGAUAAGUUUGAGCAUCAUCAUCUUGAACCUGUAUGUCUGAAGAGUGUGGUUCAGGUGAUGCAGAUCUUAAAUUGGCCACAUACUCCCAUCUUUUUUGCAGACCAGGAAAUAACAGCUGUGACCUUCCUGGGAACAGGGUACAUGUUCUAUGGCCCCUUUGUCCAAGAGGGAUCUUACUUCCUGCAUUAACAUCGGGCUCUGCUCUGUGCUGACUUCUGUGGUGAGCACACCUCUGAAACGGGGGAGUCGAGCUCUUAACUGGAACUGGUAACCCUUUUCUAUGGUAGACAGAACCCAUAGAGACACAUUUGUCAGUAGUUUUCAUACUGCCAGAUGAACUUUUAGUGAUUUUAACUUUUCCACAUUCUGUUGGAGGGAAAGCAUCAGCUUUUCAUUUGAUCUGUGACAGCUCGCUGACCAGAGAACACUGAAAACUUGGGACAGCCUUGCCUAUGGGAGGCCCUACCGUAGUACUGGGGGCUAACUGCCCUAACAACAUCAUGUCCCCUGAUACAUCACUAUUCCGCCCCUCAGGACUACUCAUUCUUUGUCUGCUCGGCCUUUAUGACCACUCUCAGAUCAGGCCUAUUAGCAGGCUGCGCCUGUGGCCACCCGGUUCCUCUGGCUAUCCGCGAGGGAUGCUCCACUCGUGGAUGCCUGGGUGAACUCAACACAACGGGGAAGGAACUGGCUGAACACCGCUGUAUGUCGAGCUCACUCAGCAGGUCUGCUUGGUAGGCAAGUAACACUGCCAUUGUAUGCAGUGAUCCACAAGCAAGAACAACUAACACAUAGGCCUUUCCCACCAACACCAAAGUGGCCUUCCAUGGCUUGGAUGGCAAAGCUGGCCCUCCUAAAUUACCUGCUGUCGAUGGAGAGAGGUAGCUCACUAGGGGCCCCGUCACCUUCGGCAUACCUAAAUAGCCAUGCCGUUCAUUCCCCAUGAUGGCCGAAUAAUCUGACAUUGUGGGUUUAUAAAUACGUCCUGUGGUUUUCCACAGAAGCAUGAUAUUUUGUCAUGCACUUCUGGGAAAAAAAGGGGAGUUUUCUGCAGUGUGAGGGAGAAUUAUUUUCACUAAAGUAAAGUAUCAAUAAUCACUUCAAGCAGCUUUUUAUAUGGUUGAGAGCUGCUCUCCAUUUUUGGCACACCCUUCUGGCUCAUCAGACUCAGAGAGGAAUUUUUUAUUUUUGGCUUUCCAUAGUGCAAGGAGGAGUCGUGACACAAGCUCCAAAAUCCAGCUGAGAGCUGGACCAGGAACACAGAGCAAGAGAUAGAGCAACGUUUGUCUCCGGCUCCUCUUCCAGAUCCAUAUGAGCUCCCCAGGCCCAGUUACGUAAGACUCUGAAACACAACUCCCUUCGGCCAUGAAGAGAGCGAGCUGCAAGCAUUCACAGUGGUCACAGUCAGACCUCUUGAGGCUGCCCUGGCGUGGUCCAGCCCUAGACACUUCACACAGAAAGUGUGUCCGUCUGUCCCCAUGAUGAAAUGGGAGCAAGGCAUAACACACUUCUAGAAUUCACUCUCACUCAUACUUUUCUCUUUUUUAAAGUAACAGAAAAGUAAAGAGAUUUUUCUUUCUUUUUUUUUUUUUAAACAUAAGAGAGGAAAAGUCUUUUUCCGUUUGGACCCCAACAAUCCACAGUCAGACAGAUUGUGUACAAAUUGAGGAAAUUCAAGACCAUUGUUAACCUCUCCAGGAGGGUAAACAAAGAUCACUCCAAGAGCAAGAUGUGUAACUGUCUGUGAGGUCAGAAAGGAACCCAUGGUAACUUCUAAACAACUAAAGACCUCUCUCACAUGUUAAUGUUCAUGAGUCCACCGUUAGGAAAACACUGAACAACAAUGGUGUGCAUGGCAGGGGUGCAAGGAGAAAGCCACUGCUCUCCAAAAAGAUAAUUGCUUCCCCUCUGCAGUUUGCUAAAGAUCACAUAGACAAGCCAGAAGGCUUCUGGAAAAAUGUUGUGUGUAAAUGGAUGAAACCAAAAUAUAACUUUUUGUUGUAAAUGAGAAGCAUUAAGUUUGGAGAAAGGAAAACACUGCAUUCCAACAUAAGAACCUUAUCCCAUAUGUGAAACAUGGUGGUGGUAGUAUCAUGUUUUGGGCCUGUUUUGCUGUAUAUGGUCCUGGACGGCUUGGCAUCAUUGAAAGAAAAAUAAAUUCUGAAGUAUACCAGCAAAUUUUAGAGGAAAAGGUCAGAACAUCAGUCUGUGAACUGAAUCUCAAGAGAAAGUGGGUCAUGCGACAAGACAAUGAACCUAAGCACACAAGUCAUUCUACCAAAGAAUCGUUAAAAAAUAAUAACAUUAAUGUUUUGCAAUGGCCAAGUCAAAGUCUUGACCUUAAUCCAAUAGAAAUGUUGUGGAAGGACCCAAGGCAAACGAUUCAUUCGUGUGAGGAAACCCAUCAACAUCCCAGAGUUUAAGUUGUUCUGUACAGAGGAAUGGGCUAAAACUCCUCCAAGCCGAUGUGCAGGACUGAUCAACGGUUACUGGAAACGUUUAGUUGCAGUUAUUGCUGCACAAGGGGGUCACUCCAGAUACUGAAAGCAAAGGGUCACAUACUUUUGCCACUCACAGAUAUGUAAUACUAGACCAUUUUCCUCAAUAAAUAAAUGUACAAGUAUAGUAUUUUUGACUCAUUGUUUAAUUGGGUUCUACUUCUCUACUUUUAGGACUUUUGUGAAAGUCUGAUGAUGUUUUAGUUCAUAUUUAUGUAGAAAUGUAAAAAAGUUUACAGGGUUCACAAACUUGCAAACACCAUUGUAGAUAUAUAUUACAAAAAAUCUGUAUUUGCUGUUGGAAAAAUACGAGAAAUAACCUUUAUAUGUUUAUGUUUUACAAAACUAUUCUACUUUCACAUGUCUAAAGAAAAAACAGAUUUUCAUGGAUUUUUCAUGCCAGUAAUAAGGCUCAUGUCACUGUGUAACCUUUAUUGAAGAUCACAAACAGAUAUUUUAUAUUUUUUUGCAGAAUGAAGAAUUUAUAAUGUGUCAGACUUUCUUUUUGUAAAUAUGCUUUUUUUUUGUCUUAGCUGUGGAUUUCAGCAGCCCUCAAUCACUCAGUCUAUUUUAACAUUUGUGUUCUAUGAUUGCAAUGUUCAAACGAAUGGAAAUGCAAGGGCUCAUAUUGAAGCAGCUAAAACUCAAUUUAAAAGCAAUUUCCAUGUGCUUGUAAUUAAUUUAUACCAAUGUGUCUGGGUUAUAAAAUACAUUUUAGAUGGAGUACAGACAGAAAUAUGAAGCCAGGCAGCCAGUAUAUCAUUAACUGCUAUAUUUGAUAAGGCUAUUAUUUAAAAAAACAAAACCUGUCACUCACAAGACACAUCUCACACACCCACAGAUUACCAGUAAUUCUGUCAUUUUAGUGGGAUUUUAUGUUCACCCUGUAUAGGAUGAAUCCAAGUUUAUUUUAUUUUAUUUUAUUUUUAUUUAUUUAUUUAUUUAAAUAUUUAAAGUGUCCUCUUUAAAAAUUUAAAUGUGAGUUUGGAUUUGGAAUAACUGCAUGACCCUACUCCAAUGUAUUCAUCCUGAUUAAUCCCAUUUGUGUUGGGUAAGAAUUAACAUCUUACAUCAGGGAGGAAGAAUAUAUAAACACAGCACCAGUAGCCUGGUAUGAGGUUUUGUCACGUAAUGGAGGCACAGACAGAAGCAAAUACAGGUAUGGCAGUUUAAUACAACAACAACAACAACAACAACAACAAUAACAACAAGUCCAAAGGAUAAGGCAGAAGACAAUAAUCAUGAACAGGUAGAGGUCAGGCAAUCAGGCAAACAGCAUAAACAGGGCAGGGCGAAGAGUCUAAUUCAUAAACGUAAAAGUAAAAUAAAUAAAUAAAUAAAUAAAUAAAUAAAUAAAUAAAUUAAAAAAAGAGUGUUCAAACAGUCUCUUUUAUGUGUAGUGUGAUUGUGAGUAUAAAUGGGAACAGGCGUCUCUGAUUAGAACUUCGGAGAAGGUGAACAUGUAUGUGUAUGGGAAGUGUAGUCCUCUUCUACCAUGUUUGUAGUUGGUGGUGCAUUCUGGGGAAUGGAGUUGCUGAUUUGGUCUGACAUGACAGGCUUGAAAUGACAAAACUUUUCAGAUUGUAGGUCUUACAAUCAAAUAAGCAAUAUAGCAGCACACAUUAUACUCACAUUUAGAAAUUCUGGUCAUUACACAGUACAUAUUUUAGAGAGUUAGUUUUACAUUUACUUUUGAGACCUGGGCCCAAAAACACACCACACCAAAACUGCUCACAUCAGUUGCAGUCCAAUGCCAUCUCCACGGCUUCCAAGUGUCGAUAGGCUGUCCAUAUGGGGCCAUCCUCAGCAACAGUGACUGGCCUCCAAGCGACGAGAACACCAGAAGCAGGUCACCAGGACAGUCCAGGCCGGCCCGGAGAGCAGAACAGUUCAGGCCCACUGCUAUCCCAUUGCUAUCUAUUGUAGAGUGUUGGUAUCAUCCAAAGUCUUUGCAGGCGUUGAUGUCAUCUGGAAUCUUUGUAGAGGCUGCUUCUGAGCUGGAGCUAGCACAUUCAAUGAUUACCUCAGGAUGGGCAUCCUGAGGUAGGAACAGGAAACAAAUGGAGAAGGAUUAGCGUGGCUGCAGUUCAUUGAAUUUCAGGCAGAGAUAACCAUGUGCAAUUGUUUUUGUUUUAUCACUGAUGAUUGUAGUGCAAGGUUAUGAGAUGUGUUAUGUGAUUGCUAUGUUAAAGAAAUUUACAAUCAUAGCAAUUUUGUUUUUAAUCUAGAUUUAAACUGAGAGAGUGUGUCUGAACCACGAACAUUAUCAGGAAGGCUAUUCCGGAGUUUAGGAGCUAAAUGUGAAAACACUCUACCUCCUUUGGUAGACUUUGAUAUCCUUUGUAUUAUCACAAGUUUUACGACAUUAAAGAGUGUGAAGGAUUGUAAUGUGAUGGGUUAAAUAUAAAGGAGCUUGGAUGUUUAGGGCUUUAUAGGUGAGUAGCAGUUGUAUAAUCAAUACAGAGCUUAACAGGUAACCAGUGUAGAGAUGAUACAAUUGGAGUAAUGUGUUCAUACAGUUACUUUGUUCCAAUUAAAUGCUUGCAAAAUUUUAAUACCCCUCGUCAUCAGAAUCUGGAGAUAGGAUAUAGGCCACUGGGGAUAUUAUGAAAGAAGCGACUUCUGCACAAUUUGAACAGUUCAGAGAACAAAAGAAACAUAAAGAACCCGAUUGACAAUUCUGAUAAAUUAGGAUCAGGCGAGAGAGCUUAGCAGAAAACAGAGCAUUGUGACAUGCAUACAGAUUUGAAAGCUGUGAUAAAAGCCUGUCUUGUUAUUGUGCUGUGACAAAUUAUUUCAAUGGCCAUAGAUCUUGAAGCUGUCUCAGUAGAGUGUGAGCUAAAAACUAUAAUCAUAAACAGUGUUGCCAACUCUUUUCAGAGGAAAGUAGCAUGUUCAAAAAUAAGUUAGAAGUUAAGAUGGUGUCAAUUGGACUAAUUUGCAUAUUAAUUGAUCAUGCAAUGGUGUGAUAAUUUGCAUAUCAAGAUAUGUUAUAUGAAGAGGGAAGAAUUUUUGAAGACUUUAGAAAAGAGAAUAUUAAUUAUAUGUUAUUCCUUAAAGAAAGAAGAAAUCUUUUGUCAUGGCCUUACAAACUUAUCUACAUAUUUACUAAAUAGAAUCUAACUACAUAUAUACAAAAUAUUAUACUUUUUUAAAUAAUAAUUGAGACAAAAUGAAGCAGUGGUAGCAAGUACUCAGAAAAGAGACAUGAAGAAAAUGGCAAAAUGAAUAGAAUAACUCACUUCUAUUACUUGAUGAUCUGUGAUUGGUCAUUGUGAAAAAAGUUGAUCAGUGAUUGGUCAUUGUGAAACAAGCUUAUCAGUGACUGGUCAUUACAAUGUUAAUCAGUGAUUUCGUCAUUAGAAACAUCAGCUUGUGCAAUUUAGGAUUUACAUACUGGUGGAGAGUUGAGUGAACCUGACUGAAAGUUUCAAAAGGUAUCUAAAAAUCUAGCGACAAAAUCAUGCUGGCAACAGUGAUCAUAAAUGCACUUUUAUAGAUAGUAUAAAAUUGUUCCUCCAGUCCACCUGAGGGUGCUGUUUAUGCUGGGAGUCAACAAUUGUAUCAUGGAUGUUUUUUGUAUAAGAAAAAAACAAAUCUCAAGAUUAAUUGGACAGUACGCUGUUCAUGAAUGCAGGAUUAUCCUGCUCGGAUGCCUGGCUUCUACACACAAUGAUUGGGAGACCUCUCAAAGGGACAGUACCUCAUAACUGUCACUAGCUCUUCAGGGAAUUUAGCUACCUGCUUUUUAGCAUGACAUGGCAGACACUGCUAAUGUUAGAGGGCAGAUAAACAUCCAAAGUUGAUUUAGUUGAGGUCAGAAAGCAAAAAGCAGAUCCUUUGAUCUUUCUUGGUACAGUAAAAUUGCUGUGAAAAAGCACAUGUACUGCUGGCUUUGUCUGCUGACAGGCAGUUCCCUUCCCCUAUUUUAAAAAACCACCAGGCACCACUGCUCUGAAUGAUGACUUUUUUUUCUCAAACUACUGUUUGAUUGAUGUGAAUUGUUAUGAAUUUACAAUCACGAGACCUUCUCUGCUGUUCUCUGAAUGACAGACAGCACUGAUGGGCAAUGUUGUACUAGAAACAUUAAAUAUACUUUAUAUCUGCCCUAAUCUGAUAAAUAUAUCAUAAGAACCUUAGGCAGAAAGUCUACAACUUGAAGAUAUUGCUGAUCCCACAGACUAGGCAGACUUAGCCCUGAUUUGGCUUAACAAAAAUGUUUGUGUGAUGGAAUCUGGUCAAGACAUCACUUUUCAACAUUGCAAACUAGUAUUAAUAAAGUCAGGUAUUGAUGUUUUUUUCAAAUGUUAUUAAUGUUUUAAACCAACAUGUUUCUACUUAUACCAUGCACCCAGUGUUCCUGGGAAGGUCUCCAGAUUCACAGGUUACUGAAGAUGAAUGAAUGAAUGCAUAUAUUCCUACUCAGUAGUAGCCUGAAAUUAUGUCUCUCCUUAUAAGUUUAAUAUCGACUGUAGCAACUGCGGCAUCUCAAGUUGCUCAUAGGAUUAACUUCAUUCAUUUUGACAACCACACAAAAGUGAAGCCCCAAGCUUCUGCCUCCAUACACUGUCAUAUAUUAGUAUGCUAGCACAGUCAGAGUACAAGUAUUUUCAUAUUUAUUUGAUUACUUGCAAGCUAGCUAUUUCUCAACUCACUUUGCAAACGCACACGGUCUAUAAAACCGAUCCUUUAAGCUCUUCUUGUGAGGUUUGCUUGCAAAAUCAUUGUUGUUAUUUGCCUUUUUUCCCCAAGCAUACUCAUGCCACAGCAGGAACUGUACACAUCUUUAUUAAUACCUGGAAAUCUGCCUGCAGCACUUCCGCUAGCUAUCGGGUCUCCUAGGGAAGCAGUAGAACUGCAGACACAGAAUACUUGAUUUCUGUCAGGUUCCUUGUUGUUUUGUGAUUCAGAUGGAACAAACAGCCUGCUCCCAGUCAAUGCCCUGUACAUGCACACACACACGGAUGCCACAUACUCUUCCUUUUCACUUGUUUUUCAGUUAGAGAAAUACUAUCACAUUAUUUUAAAGUUCAUCAUGGUUCCCUAUUAUAUCAUCAGUCUUCUAGGGCAGAUUUAUUGUAGAGAAUGUGUACCCACCAUUUAAUUCAAGGUGGAUUCCAAGAGGGUUUUUAACUAGAAUAAUCUCAUUGUAUAUUCUUAGGAAUUUGCACCAACUAGUAUAAAAAUUUAAGCAUAAUUUUAAAGUGUCGUAUAAUUGCUUUCUGUAUGCAAAUCAUUUGUUUCAACUGUCUCAAGAGUUUUUAUUUGACUUUUACUUACAUUUCAGAUUAGUUACUCCAUAAUCUAUGUACUUUAAUGGAUGUGACCACAAGUUUAUCAACAAAAACAAACCGAAUACCUAUCACUGCAUAUUGGUUGCCUAUUAGCAUGGAGAUUUGUUUUUCAGAGUUGCAGGGUGGUCGGCAUCCACUUGCAUCCUCUUGAUUUUUUUCUUGAUAUACACUCAAGACUGGGAUUUUUUUUUCUAAUCCUCAAUCGUCCAGUUUGGGCAAGUCCACCCAUGAUAGCCUCAGAUUCAUAAUCCUGACUGACAGAAGUGGAACCUGAUGUGGUCUUCUGCUGGUAUAGCCACUCCACCUAAAGGUUUGAUGUGUUGUGUGUUCUGAUACGUUUUUUUCUGCUCAUAAUUGUUAUAAAGAGUGAUUAUUUCAGUUACUAUAGACUUCCUGUCAGUUUAUUCUGGUCAUUCUCCUCUAAUCUUGCUCAUCAACAAGGCAUUUCCACCUACAGAACUGCCACUCACUUAAUGUUUUUUUUUUAAUUUUUUUUAAUUUUUACAACCAUUCAGUGUAAACUCAUGAGGCUGUUGUGUGUGAAUUCCCAGGAGAUCAGCAGUAUGUGAAAUACUCAAACCAGCCCAUCUGGUAGCAACAAUAAUGCCAUGAUCAAAAUCACAAACAUCAUUUUUUUUUUCUUCAUUCUGAUGUUUCAUGUGAACAUUAACUGAAGCUCUUGUCACAUGACACUGGCACAUGAACCUGCUGCCACAUGACUGGCUGACUGGAUAACUGCAUAAAUGUGCAGGUGUACAGGUGUUCCUAUUAAAGUGCAUGGUGACUGUACAUUCAGGUAAAUGAGGUUAUCUGAAAUUCAAGAAAUUACAAUUAAUAUAUCCCAAAUCAAAUUAAUAUUUGAUUCUUUUGACAUAGUAGGGUCAAAAGAAAACUAAGCCUUUCACACUACUUAACACAAUGAGGUGCACAAAAUUUGUUUGCUUAAACCUGUGGAGCCAACCGGUCAUCAGCAGGUGUAAAAGGAGUUAACAUAUAGGUACCGUCUGUCAUCUUGGCAGCACCUGUUAGAAUGGCAAGAAUAUUAAUGUUAUUAUUCAAAUCUAAACAUUAUACUAUGAGUCAAUGAGCAUAUCAUUAAGUGUGCAAGAUCAAUGAAAUAUGAAUCAGCAAAAAUGAGUGUGUCUAUGGGGGACAAUGCUGCCUGGCAGAUCUGUCAGCUCUGGAAAUGCUGAGGUUGAGCAUAAAGCCAAUAACCAGGUCAGGGAGUAGCACACAUAAAUACAGGGUCAGCUGACACCUGACAAUUAACUCAUGUCUUUUAGGAAAGUCUCCUGAGACUCUGUUUUUUUAUAUCAGCAUUGGUGUAUCUCAGGGCAAAUUUCUGUGUGUUUCAGUAUAUGAAAGCAAUUUUUCCAUGUUAUAAACCCUCACUCACUUUAAGGGUUCAGAACUGUGAGUUGAUUCAAGAAAACAUUUGGGUUACGCUUGUAACCCUAUUCCCUGAGAAGGGAACGAGACGAUGCGUUUAGCAUAACACUAUGGGAGCGCCUCUCGCACACGACCAGCAUCUGCAGCUUGUGUAAAAUCAUGCCUAUUUAUAGGCCUGCCAUGAUCAGGUGACGUAGCAAUUAAGUGUGCCGCGUGAUAUAAAUAUGGCACCUGUGAACCACACCAUCAGCCUCUAUUAUCUGAAGCGAAGACACAAUUCACAGGCCUGCCCUGGUAUGACAAAGCUAUGCAACAUCUCGUUCCCUUCUCAGGGAACAGGGUUACAUGUGAAACCCAGACGUUCCCUUUCAAAGGGAACUUCGACGUUGUGUUUAGCAGAACACUAUGGGAAUGAGAAUACCCACUCCAUCAUACCGAGGGUACGGCCUGUUCAAAAAGACUCAAGCCUGAGGGUCACUGCAAGACACUUGAGCCCGGGGUGGAAUAUCCAGCCUGUAAUAACAAAUGAAUGUGUGUGGCGUAGACCACCCUUCAGCAGCGCACACAUCCUGUAAGGAUACCCCUUUGGACAAAGCCUUCGCGGAGGCCACCGCCCUAGUGGAAUGAGCCCUUAUGCCCAGAGGCGUAGCGAGACCGCGUUCCUCAUAAGCAAUAGAGAUUGCUUCCACUAUCCAAUUAGAAAGGCGCUGCUUUGACACAGCAUCACCUCUACUGUCGCCGCCAAAGCUGCUCCAACUUACGCCACUGGCCGGACACAGCAGGUGCAUUCUCUCUUAUUCCAGUGUGGAGGAGAGCAGAAAGCCUGCAACACCACAGGGUGGGCAGCCGAUGUAGGCACUUUAGGAAUAUAAUCCGGCCUAGGGUACAGGAAGGCCUUGGCUAAUCCAGAGGCAAAGUCAAGGCAGGAAGGGGCAACAGAGAGAGGUUGUAGAUCUCCUACAGCUGUCUAAGACUGCACUCCAGCCCGUGAGGGAGGUGUCUGUCAUUACCAUCUUGCCCUAAGGAGACACCCCUAGAGUGUGACCCAAGGAUAGAAACAGGGGACACCCAUUCUCAGAGCACGUAGGCAUCACCACGUGAGACUGAUUAUUCUCAGAGGUUUUGUACUUGGACGAAACCCACAACUUCUCAGCCACCACUGAACGGUUUCCUGUGCAAUAGGCCCAUAAGAGCCAAUAGUCUCCCAAGAUCCAGGUUUAUCUUGCUCAGUGUUGAUAGGAUUGACCCUACGCAUGUUGGGGAUAGAAACAUCCUCAUCACUAGAAUCCUUAUAACCCCUAGAAAAGUUGUCCACUGCACUGGGGAAAGCAUACUUUUCUGAGUUUUAACCUGAGCCCCAAGAUCUUGAUGUGGGCGAGAACAACAUCUCGAUGUUGAACCGCCAGUUCCCUGGAUUGUGGUAGAAUUAACCAGUCAUCCAGGUAGUUUAAUACACAGAUGCCCUGGAGUUACAGUGGAGCAGGAGUGACAUCCAUGCACUUUGUGAAGGUUCGAGGGGAUAAAGCUAGCGAUAUUUCUAUGUGGAAAUAUGCACCUUUUAGAUCUAUCGUCCCAAACCAGUCCUCAAACUGAAUCUGUGGAAUGAUAAGUUUGGGCGUCAGCAUCUUGAACCUGUAUGUCCGAAGAGUACAGUUCAGAUGACGCAGAUCUAAAAUUGGCCACAUACUCCUAUUUUUUACAGACCAGGAAAUAACAGCUGUAAAAACCUCCCUCCCUCAGGGAGCAGGGUACAUGUUCUAUGGCUCCUUUGUCCAAGAGGGAUCUUACUAAUGAUCUAACGUCGGGCUCUGGUCUGUGCUGACUACUGUGGUGAGCACACCUCUGAACCGGGGGGGUUGAGCUAUAAACUGGACCCAGUAACCCUUUUCUACGGUAGACAGAACCAAUGGAGACACAUUUGACAGUAGUUUCCAUACUGCCAGAUGGCCUUUUAGUGACGUUAACUAUUCCACAUUCUAUUGGAGGGAAAGCAUCAGAUUUUCGUUGCCCUGUGACAGCUCGGUGACCAGAGAACACUGGAAACUUGGGACCGACUUGGCUAGGGAGGCCCUACAGUAGCACUGGGGGCUAACUGCCCUAACAACCUCAUGUCCCUCAUGUCAUGAUACUUCCCUCCACGGCCCCUCAGGACGGCUCUUCUUUGCCUGCUAGGCCUUUAUGACCAUUCUCAGAUCAGGCCGCGACUAUGGCCGCCUGGUUCCCCUGGCUGUCUGCGGGGGUUGGCGGGCUGCCAUACUCGCCUUCUGGGUAUCCUUUGCACUAGUGCUGGCCUGGGCUCCACGUGAACUCGAGACAACAGGGAAGGAACUGGCUGAAUGCCGCAAUAUGUCAAGCUCACUCAGCAGGUCUGCUUGGUAGGCCUGCAACACUGUCAUUGUCUGCAGUGACCCACAAACAAGACUACUACCUCAUAAGCCUUGCCCACCGGUGGCUUUCCCCCUAAUUACCUUCCGUUGAUGGAGAGAGGUAGCUCGCAAGUGCCUCCUCCACCUUCAGCAUAGCUAAAUAGCCAUGCCAUUCAUUCCCCACAAUGGCCGAAUAAUCCAACAUCGUCGGGUUAUAAAUAUGGCUUUAUGCAUGGUUUUCCCCCAGAAGCCUGAUAUUUUGUCAUGCACUUCUGGAGGAAAGGGGAGUUUCUGCAGUGUGAGGGAUUUAGUUUCACUGAGGAGACAAAGGCUUAUCCAGCCUUAGUAAUCACUUCAAGCAGCUCAUGCUGCUCUGUUUUUAGCACAUCCUUCUGGCUCCUCAGAGUCAGAGAGGAAUUAUUACUAUUAUUUGUGUGUGUGUGUGUGUGUGUGUGUGUGUGUGUGUGUGUGUGUGUGUGUGUUUUUCUUCCCCUUUUGGCUUUCCAUAGUGGAAGGAGUCGUCGGGACGCGAGGUCCAAAAUCCAGCGCAGAGCCGAACCCGGAAGACAGAGCAAGAGAUAGAGCAGCGCUCGUCUCCAGCCUCUCUUCCGGAUCCAUAAGAGAUCCCCCGAACCUGAGAGGGCUAGCUGCCUCGGCAGCGGCCGGCCCAGAUCCGCGAGGCUCUGAAACCCAACUCACUUCACCUUCCAAGAAGAGCGCGAGUCGUGAGCGGAUCUGCUUAAGGUAGGCAUUACCAUGCGCAGCCUCUCGAGGCUGCCAUUGCAUGCUCCAACCCUCGACACGUCACCCACAAAGUGUGCACUAUUCUCCAUAAUGAAACGGGAGCAAGUCGUAACACACUUUCUGAAAUCUCUCACUCAGAUUUUUUUUCUUCUCUUUUUUUUUUUAAAGGAAUAGAAAAGUUCUGAGAUUUUGAGAAAAGAUAGCGAGGAAAUGAAACAUCUUUUUGUUUCUUUAUACAAACAACUGACAUGCAGUCUUUCGCUGAAGAUAAUAAAGGCUGAUGGCACGGUUCACAGGUGUCAUAUUUGUAUCACACAACGCGCUUAAUUGCCACGUCACCUGAUCAUGGCAGGCCUAUAAAUAGGCAUGAUUUUACACAAGCUUCAGAUGCCAGUUGCGUGCGAGAGGCGCUCCCAUAGUAUUAUGCUAAACGCAACAUCAAAGUUCCCUUUGAAAGGGAACUUUACGGUGCAUGGUGGCCUGCCAGGUGGUGUUUGCAGUGGCGGCUCCUUUAUAGUGGAGUGGAGCAGUGUCCAACCAUUUCCAUCCGCCAUAAAGAGCACGUAAGCUACUUUAACCAUACUUUUACAGUUACUGGCCUGAUUGACUACUGCUACUGUUCUACUCUAGUGAAAAUGCAAAAUUUUGGACUUAAAUUGCAGUACAGCAACAACAGUGGACAAGAGUGAGUAGCUCAGCAACAAGCUAGUCAGCAGACAACUAGCUAUUAGGAAAAAGCUAACCAGCUAAAAUGAAUCAUAACACUAAUGCUGAUGAUUACCUUCACAAAACAGUAAUUAGUAUGGUCAAUGUUAUAGAUUUCCACAAGGAAUCCAAUAUUCAGGUUACAGAUUGGCCUCUCCUGCCAUCUGCAGAUCCACCAACUUCUAACCCCAUGGAAGACAGUCAUACUUGACUCGAGUAACUGCCGAUGACGACAACGAUGAUGAUUUCUGACCUGAAUAUAAGCAUUAACAUAUGAGCAUUCUUACACCUCAGUUCACUUUUAUUGUUCUUACAUCAUUUUGAGUGACCAGGAAGAAACAGGGCUGUGGAGUGAUUUCAAAAAGGAAUAAAGUAUUGAAACAAAAAAUAUCUGUUUCAAAAGGAACUUAAUUUUAUUCUGUUCAUGUCGAUUGUUGCAUAUGGAACCAGUCUGAGACUGUCAGUUCUGAAUUUCUUUAUGCUGACACGACAAUUGAGAGGUGGUGCAUGAAAUAAACAUCAAACAAUAAAGUUCUCCAUACCAAACUGGAACUGUUUUAACAUAGUGAAUGUGUCUGCUGAAAACCUGAGCCAGGAAAAUAAACCCAAUCUGAUUCAUGGAGAAAACACUAGUGGGCAAAACAAUGAUGGACAGCUAGCCAGGAUGUAGUGUAUGAUAAAGUCAGAGCUUGUAUUCUGGGACAGGUUUCACCAGUCAACUUGAAAUCAUGGAUAAUUUCUAAUGACUGAGAGCAAUUUAGAUGGAUUUUUUAUUAUGAAGUCAUAAAAAUGAAGUAACCCUGCCCCUUGAUCUAACUUUAACCAUGCACCUUAACUUUUCAUAUGAGUUGGCCCAUAUACAGUGUUAUAAAUUUUCAAUCAUAAGACCAUGUUGGAACUAGGUUGUGUAAUAAAGAGUGCUGCCAAGAUCCUCCUGCUUUCAUCAGCCAAUGAUGGUAGUCGAGCCAAAAUAAGCUGCCAAUUAUCCAAUCAACUGCAGCCAGACACAGUGGUGACCAAAAAAGCACACAUCAAACCAGACAAAACAAUAUACUACUGUGUAUGGCAUACAGAAAUGUUUUGGCUGACACUUGGGGUUGAAAGCAAAGGAUUUGCAACAAAAGUUUUUUGGAAAAAACCAAGAAACUAGCCAGAGAACGAAAUGUUGGCACAUUGAUAAAGAGAUGAUGUGAUAAAUUAUAAUUGAAACAGAUUUUUGCAAUAAAUGAUGGCAGUGAGUGUAUUGUCUCACCAUUGUAUGCAUGUUUGGAUCUUUUCAUCAUGUCAUGUGUUGCUUUCUCUUCAGAAUAUUCAGCAACUGAUGAAAAUCCCAAAAGGAUUCACAUUUUAUUUUUCCAACUUUUCAAAAAGUGACAUACCUACAGCCGAGAAGAUUUCUCUUCCUGUGCCGAUUUUGACAGGAUGUUUUAAAAAGCUGUCCAUAUUGAACACAUCAGAAGUUUGCUGCUAUUUUAUAGAAAAUAAAUCUAUUUUUCAGACAUCAGUUUUCUAGGUUAUGCUGAUGCAUGUCUGUAUACUAGCAGUAAACUAGGAAGGAAAAAAAAAAGAUCACAACACAUUCCAAUAUUUUGCAGUGUUGAUGGCAGUAUCUCAUCAGUAGCAUCACCCCGACUCUAGGAGCAAAUACACAAAAUACAACAAACAAUUCAUCCAUCUGACUAAUAUUGAUAUGUCUUCAAAAUUUUAUGCUACUAAAAUUUGCAGUUUGUUCUAUAAUGUAUUUUCCGUGCUGGGCAACAGUGACUCUGUACUGUGCACAUGAAUACAUGACUACUAGAUUCAUAUGGCUAACUUUAAUGUGGGGACUGGAAAUUGGGUUUGGAAAACAAAACCAAUGUAAUGGAUUGCAGUUACUCUUGCAAAUUUGUCCAGUUGGUCCUGUUGGCGAGUGGAAUGGCAGAGCAGAGCCGGGCUUUAAUGGGCUGUAAACCCAAGGUCGCUUCCAAGAACUCUCUCAAGCUUCUACUGCAAACUGAUCAUGCUCUGUUAAGAGGGUGCAGCACACUGUUUCAUAGUUCACUAACAGAUCUGGGUCAAUUUAUGUGUCCCCGAUACUUGCAUUCUUGAGUAUUGGAUUUGAACCUCGGAUGCAAGAUCGUAUAAGUAUGCAUUUUGAGAAACGGCUUUGUUUUCCAGAUAUAUGUUGAAUCAUGUGUCAUGUGACAUGCACGUCAACUUUACUUUAUAAACCACAUUUACUAGUGUGGAUUCACAUUUAUAGUAUUUUCUCAAAAUUAGCAAAUUUUUCUAUGUUCAAACUCAAAAAUCACAGUUUAUGGUUUAUCAACCUGCAUGUUCAUGCUCAUUCCUGUCCCUAUUUAGAAAGAUAUUAGAGAGGAAUUUCUCAACUUGUUGAUUAUUUCUGGAUUCACAUUAGAUUCUGUACUAAAAAUGGCAUAUAUUUAUUUUGGUAACAACACGUAGUAUUUUGUUAUGUAAACAACAACAACAACAAUAAUAAUAAUUAAAAAAUAAAUUCCAACAACUGUUCUGUAAAAGUCUUCUCUGAAGACUGCCUACACAAUUUUAAUUCUAGCAUCAUUCAAAAACUAGAUUUUUUUUGUUUUGUCAUAUUUAAUAAGAUGACUCCUUAGUUUCAUGAAAUUUAUUAAAAAAAUUGUGAUAUCAAUUGUUUGACUUAAAUUACCUUAUUCACCUGUAGUUUCUUAGCUUAAUUGGUCAAACAGCAAAAUUUGCAGUAAAGCUGUAGGGUUAUAUAUAUAUAUAUAUACACACACACAAACAGUAGUACAAUACUGGUUGGGUCCAAAAAUUCUCUCUCUUUGUUUUUAACCGCUGCUAUCUCAGUGUUUUUAAUCUCUGAUUAACACACAUUUCAUAAACAACAAUGCAUGCAUAUAUAUAUAUAUAUAUAUAUAUA
ensembl:lncRNA